CAGCCGCCGCGGGAAUACAGAGGGUGCAAGCGUUAAUCAGAAUUACUGGGCGUAAAGCGCGCGUAGGUGGUUUGUUAAGUUGGAUGUGAAAGCCCCGGGCUCAACCUGGGAACUGCAUCCAAAACUGGCAAGCUAGAGUACGGUAGAGGGUGGUGGAAUUUCCUGUGUAGCGGUGAAAUGCGUAGAUAUAGGAAGGAACACCAGUGGCGAAGGCGACCACCUGGACUGAUACUGACACUGAGGUGCGAAAGCGUGGGGAGCAAACAGGAUUAGAUACCCCCGUAGUCCCUGUCUCUUAUAC
rnacentral:rRNA from 1 species